CUGCAAUCAACUAACCUCAACAGGUUUCUUUCUGGUUAGGGACCUGAAGUGCAAUGGCUGCAAAUGGCCUCCCUAAGGGAGCCUGGAGACAGUU
ensembl:snoRNA SNORA70 Small nucleolar RNA SNORA70